AGGCGACGAUCAGUAGCUGGUCUGAGAGGACGACCAGCCACACUGGGACUGAGACACGGCCCAGACUCCUACGGGAGGCAGCAGUGGGGAAUUUUGGACAAUGGGCGAGCCUGAUCCAGCAUGCCGCGUGUGUGAAGAAGGCCUUCGGGUUGUAAAGCACUUUUGUCCGGAAAGAAAUCCUUGACCCUAAUACGGUCGGGGGAUGACGGUACCGGAAGAAUAAGCACCGGCUAACUACGUGCCAGCAGCCGCGGUAAUAA
rnacentral:rRNA from 1 species